GUUCCUACGGGAGGCAGCAGUGGGGAAUAUUGCACAAUGGGCGAAAGCCUGAUGCAGCGACGCCGCGUGGGGGAUGACGGUCUUCGGAUUGUAAACCCCUUUCAGUAGGACGAAGCGCAAGUGACGGUACUGCAGAAG
rnacentral:rRNA from 1 species